GAUAGGAUGGCUGAGUUUUUAAGCGGUGGACUGUAGUCCCACCCACAGGGGUUUGAGUCCCCUUCCUAUCA
rnacentral:tRNA from 1 species